GGCCAUGACAGAAUGAGCAGUCUCCUCUUCGUCCCUGGAGGAAAGGUCAGAUUGGCAUAUGGUUAAGCGCGUUUGUGAUGAGUGCUGGUGAUCCUGUAGAGAUGUAUGGAGUCAGGAGAGGGGGGUAGGAGGCUAUCUAUCCCCUGUAUCCCAGGCCCAAUCCUCCCAGCAGUGACGGCUCCAUCUGUCAUCUUACACCAUAUGGAAAGUAUGGAAGCUUCUAGAACCCACCGCCCCACUCACCCCUCCCCAGAGAGUACCUGGAGCUUGAAGCUGUGACGACCCAAAAUAAAACUGGCAUGUGAUGCCACAACCACAUUGGCGAUAUCCUCAGGGCUUUGGCUGGCAGGGGCACAAUGCUGUUCUGAAUGACUCGGGGGUUUGGGGUUUGUACUUGUCAGAGUGCUGACAGAUAGCUAGAGAUCUGACCCACAACGUCAUUCUCAAGUCAAGAAGAGACAACGAUGAAUUCUCAUCGAACUUGCAGAUUUAAUUAAUUGUAUGCUUCAGAUGCCAUUUAAUGUCUGCUGCACGCUGCUGCUUUCGUAAGCCUGACUGCUGGCUAGUUUGCUCCACAAUUUAAGUUUUUUCUUCUGUUAGAUUCUAAGUAGAAAGUGUAUUUGUUCUAAAUAUGCUAAAUAUUUGAAGAGAUCUUGACAAAAUGUAAAACUCUUUGCAGAUGGGUACAGCUGUGAGUGCAUGUUUUGUGUUACCAUGAGGCUUAUGUUCAUGACUUCGAUCAAAUGUGUAAAUAAGAAGGAAUGGAAUCACUGGAUGUACUGCUUGUCAUGCUUAUAAGUUGCAUUGACUUGUGGGAGGAAACAUGCAAGGUGUGUUUCUUUGAAAGCACUAAAAAAGGAAGAUGAAGGGUUGAGGGUUAUUCCUAGCAAUCUUGAAUAUGCAGGAAAAGUAAUUAGUAAGGUAAUGAGUAAGAAACUAAGGUUAUUGGUUGCAGGUGUUAGGCCUGGCUGGUCUUUGAAGUUAAUUGUUUUAUAAUUUAAUAUGGCUGUAUAAAAAGGUGCAUUUUCAAAAGGCUACAUGAGUGCAGUCAUUCAUUCGAAUUCACA
ensembl:lncRNA